AUAAUUCAAAGUAUGCAAUAUCACUCACAAGUUUGAAUAGUCUCUCUUUUCUCAUCACUUACACAUAACACACACACUUUUGAGGUCUUUCGGGUUGUAGCUUGGCUUGGGUUAGGGUAUGGAUUCAAAAAAAAAGGGAAAACAAGGGGCUUUUGGUUCAGAGUCGAUGUUACAUCGUGUGUUGGUUUCUUUUAUUUCCUCGGUUUUCUUUUCUUAUUUCUUUAUUUUCUUACCGACUGCCCUUUUUCGUGCUUUUUCUUUUGAAUCUUCGAGUAUUCGAUUUUUAUUUUUCUUUCUUUUUCUCGAUUCAUCAAUUUUUUCUUUUUCUUUUGUUUUUGCACUUUC
rnacentral:lncRNA from 1 species